GGACACGUGGUAUCCUGUCUGAAUAUGGGGGGACCAUCCUCCAAGGCUAAAUACUCCUGACUGACCGAUAGUGAACCAGUACCGUGAGGGAAAGGCGAAAAGAACCCCGGCGAGGGGAGUGAAAAAGAACCUGAAACCGUGUACGUACAAGCAGUGGGAGCACCCUUUGGGGUGUGACUGCGUACCUUUUGUAUAAUGGGUCAGCGACUUAUAUUCUGUAGCAAGGUUAACCGAAUAGGGGAGCCGGAGGGAAACCGAGUCUUAAUUGGGCGUUAAGUUGCAGGGUAUAGACCCGAAACCCGGUGAUCUAGCCAUGGGCAGGUUGAAGGUUGGGUAACACUAACUGGAGGACCGAACCGACUAAUGUUGAAAAAUUAGCGGAUGACCUGUGGCUGGGGGUGAAAGGCCAAUCAAACCGGGAGAUAGCUGGUUCUCCCCGAAAGCUAUUUAGGUAGCGCCUCGUGAAUUCAUCUCCGGGGGUAGAGCACUGUUUCGGCUAGGGGGCCAUCCCGGCUUACCAACCCGAUGCAAACUGCGAAUACCGGAGAAUGUUAUCACGGGAGACACACGGCGGGUGCUAACGUCCGUCGUGAAGAGGGAAACAACCCAGACCGCCAGCUAAGGUCCCAAAGUCAUGGUUAAGUGGGAAACGAUGUGGGAAGGCCCAGACAGCCAGGAUGUUGGCUUAGAAGCAGCCAUCAUUUAAAGAAAGCGUAAUAGCUCACUGGUCGAGUCGGCCUGCGCGGAAGAUGUAACGGGGCUAAACCAUGCACCGAAGCUGCGGCAGCGACGCUGAUGCGUUGUUGGGUAGGGGAGCGUUCUGUAAGCCUGCGAAGGUGGCCUGUGAGGGUUGCUGGAGGUAUCAGAAGUGCGAAUGCUGACAUAAGUAACGAUAAAGCGGGUGAAAAGCCCGCUCGCCGGAAGACCAAGGGUUCCUGUCCAACGUUAAUCGGGGCAGGGUGAGUCGACCCCUAAGGCGAGGCCGAAAGGCGUAGUCGAUGGGAAACGGGUUAAUAUUCCCGUACUUGGUGUUACUGCGAAGGGGGGACGGAGAAGGCUAUGUUGGCCGGGCGACGGUU
rnacentral:rRNA from 1 species